rnacentral:rRNA from 1 species
GCUUGAACUGCGAGUGACCACUCAUGAAAGUGAGCUUCCGCAGGNACACUCGUAGAGGUGCUGCAUGGGCUGUCGUCAGCUCGUGUCGUGAGAUGUUGGGUUAAGUCCCGCAACGAGCGCAACCCUUGUUUCCUGUUGCCAUCACGUAAAGGUGGGCACUCUGGAGAGACUGCCGGUGACAAACCGGAGGAAGGUGGGGAUGACGUCAAGUCAGCAUGGCCUUUAUGUCCAGGGCUACACACGUGCUACGAUGGCCGAUACAAACCGUCGCAAACUCGCAAGGGUGAGCUAAUCGGAGAAAGUCGGUCUCAGUUCGGAUUGUCGGCUGCAACUCGCCGGCAUGAAGUUGGAAUCGCUAGUAAUCGCGGAUCAGCAUGCCGCGGUGAAUACGUUCCCGGGCCUUGUACACACCGCCCGUCACACCACGAAAGUUGGCAAUACCCGAAGCCGGUGGGCUAACCCGCAAGGGAGGCAGCCGUCGAAGGUAGGGUCGAUGAUUGGGGUG